ACAACAGUUGGAAACGACUGCUAAUACCGCAUAAGCCCACGGCUCGGCAUCGAGCAGAGGGAAAAGGAGCAAUCCGCUUUGAGAUGGCCUCGCGUCCGAUUAGCUAGUUGGUGAGGUAACGGCCCACCAAGGCGACGAUCGGUAGCCGGACUGAGAGGUUGAACGGCCACAUUGGGACUGAGACACGGCCCAGACUCCUACGGGAGGCAGCAGUGGGGAAUAUUGCACAAUGGGGGAAACCCUGAUGCAGCGACGCCGCGUGGAGGAAGAAGGUCUUCGGAUUGUAAACUCCUGUUGUUGAGGAAGAUAAUGACGGUACUCAACAAGGAAGUGACGGCUAACUACGUGCCAGCAGCCGCGGUAAAACGUAGGUCACAAGCGUUGUCCGGAAUUACUGGGUGUAAAGGGAGCGCAGGCGGGAGAACAAGUUGGAAGUGAAAUCCAUGGGCUCAACCCAUGAACUGCUUUCAAAACUGUUUUUCUUGAGUAGUGCAGAGGUAGGCGGAAUUCCCGGUGUAGCGGUGGAAUGCGUAGAUAUCGGGAGGAACACCAGUGGCGAAGGCGGCCUGCUGGGCACCAACUGACGCUGAGGCUCGAAAGUGUGGGUAGCAAACAGGAUUAGAUACCCUGGUAGUCCACACCGU
rnacentral:rRNA from 1 species